GGCCUUUCCCCCCCCAGGCACACCCCUCCCCCGGCAAACUCCUCUCCAGAACGCUUUAUCAUCCACAGUUAUUUGGUCGACGAUGCAAAGGGUAAAGACAAGUGGACAAACGGACGACCAGCUAAUUUGACUCCUGUGAAGUACCUUCACCCCCAACCCCUGCCACAUCCAUCUGGGUGACUUCCUCCAGUGAUGACCACGUGGUCCAAGAUUCCCCUACCCUGGAGUCCCCCGAGGUGGAAGGAUGUGAGUCUGGACUAACAUGGCCAGGGACCUCGGUGA